rnacentral:rRNA from 1 species
UACGGAGGGUGCGAGCGUUGUCCGGAAUCAUUGGGCGUAAAGGGCGCGUAGGUGGCCCGGUCAGUUCGUGGUGAAAGCGCGGGGCUCAACCCCUGCGUCGGCCAUGAAUACUGCCGCGGCUGGAGCACUGUAGAGGCAGGCGGAAUUCCGGGUGUAGCGGUGGAAUGCGUAGAUAUCGGGAGGAACACCUGUGGCGAAAGCGGCUCACUGGACAGUAACUGACGCUGAUGCACGAAAGCUAGGGGAGCAAACAGG